GAUGAACGCUAGCUACAGGCUUAACACAUGCAAGUCGAGGGGUAACGAGAGGAAAGCUUGCUUUCCUUGUCGACGACCGGCGCACGGGUGAGUAACGCGUAUCCAACCUGCCCCCAACUAGGGAAUAACCUUGCGAAAGUAAGACUAAUACCCUAUAAUUUCCUCAGAUGUCAUCUGACGAGGAAUAAAGAUUUAUCGGUUGUGGAUGGGGAUGCGUCUGAUUAGCUUGUUGGCGGGGUAACGGCCCACCAAGGCAACGAUCAGUAGGGGUUCUGAGAGGAAGGUCCCCCACAUUGGAACUGAGACACGGUCCAAACUCCUACGGGAGGCAGCAGUGAGGAAUAUUGGUCAAUGGGCGGAAGCCUGAACCAGCCAAGUAGCGUGCAGGAUGACGGCCCUAUGGGUUGUAAACUGCUUUUGUACAGAACGAAAAGGUUUCUACUAAUACUAGGAGCUCAUGACGGUACUGUAAGAAUAAGCACCGGCUAACUACGUGCCAGCCGCCGCAGUAA
rnacentral:rRNA from 1 species